rnacentral:rRNA from 1 species
CCUACGGGUGGCUGCAGUCGAGAAUCAUUCACAAUGGGGGAAACCCUGAUGCUGCGACGCCGCGUGGGUGAAUGAAGGUCUUCGGAUUGUAAACCCCUGUCAUGUGGGAGCAAAUUAAAAAGUUAGUAACACAAGAGGAAGAGACGGCUAACUCUGUGCCAGCCGGCGCGGUAAUACAGAGCUCUCAAGCGUUGUUCGGAAUCACUGGGCGUAAAGCGUGCGGAGGCGGUUUCGUAAGUCGUGUGUGAAAGGCGCGGGCUCAACCCGCGGACUGCAGAUGAUACUGCGAGACUAGAGUAAUGGAGGGGGAAGCGGAAUUCCAGGUGUAGCAGUGAAAUGCGUAGAUAUCGGGAGGAACACCCGUGGCGAAGGCGGGUCCCUGGACAUUAACUGACGCUGAGGCACGAAGGCCAGGGGAGCGAACGGGAUUAGAUACCCGUGUAGUC